rnacentral:rRNA from 1 species
GAUCAACGCUGGCGGCGUGCUUAACACAUGCAAGUCGAACGAAGUUUUUCCUUCGGGAGAAACUUAGUGGCGGACGGGUGAGUAACGCGUGGGUAACCUGCCCUGUACAGGGGGACAACAGCUGGAAACGGCUGCUAAUACCGCAUAAGCCCUUAGCACUGCAUGGUGCAUAGGGAAAAGGAGCAAUCCGGUACAGGAUGGACCCGCGUCUGAUUAGCCAGUUGGCAGGGUAACGGCCUACCAAAGCGACGAUCAGUAGCCGAUCUGAGAGGAUGUACGGCCACAUUGGGACUGAGACACGGCCCAGACUCCUACGGGAGGCAGCAGUGGGGAAUAUUGCACAAUGGAGGAAACUCUGAUGCAGCGACGCCGCGUGAGUGAAGAAGUAUUUCGGUAUGUAAAGCUCUAUCAGCAGGGAAGAAAAUGACGGUACCUGACUAAGAAGCACCGGCUAAAUACGUG